GGGCGUGUAACUCAGUGGUAGAGCGUGUGCCUAGCAUUCACAAAAUCCUGGAUUCAAUCCCCAGUACUUCCA
rfam:Camelus ferus unplaced genomic scaffold scaffold14590, whole genome shotgun sequence.